UACGGGAGAGGCAAGCGUUGUUCGGAAUCACUGGGCUUAAAGCGCGUGUAGGCGGCCUCGUAAGUACCUUGUGAAAGCCCUCGUCUCAACCGAGGAACUGCUUGGUAUACUGCGGGGCUUGAGGCAGGUAGGGGUGCUUGGAACUCUAGGUGGAGCGGUGAAAUGCGUAGAGAUCUAGGGGAACGCCGGUGGCGAAAGCGGAGCACUGGGCCUGACCUGACGCUGAGACGCGAAAGCGUGGGUAG
rnacentral:rRNA from 1 species